AGUGAACGCUGGCGGUAGGCCUAACACAUGCAAGUCGAACGGCAGCACAGUAAGAGCUUGCUCUUACGGGUGGCGAGUGGCGGACGGGUGAGGAAUACAUCGGAAUCUACUUUUUCGUGGGGGAUAACGUAGGGAAACUUACGCUAAUACCGCAUACGACCUACGGGUGAAAGCAGGGGAUCUUCGGACCUUGCGCGAUUGAAUGAGCCGAUGUCGGAUUAGCUAGUUGGCGGGGUAAAGGCCCACCAAGGCGACGAUCCGUAGCGGGUCUGAGAGGAUGAUCAGCCACAAUGGAACUGAGACACGGUCAAGACUCCUACGGGAGGCAGCAGUGGGGAAUAUUGGACAAUGGGCGCAAGCCUGAUCCAGCCAUACCGCGUGGGUGAAGAAGGCCUUCGGGUUGUAAAGCCCUUUUGUUGGGAAAGAAAAGCAGCAGGUUAAUACCCCGCUGUUCUGACGGUACCCAAAGAAUAAGCACCGGCUAACUUCGU
rnacentral:rRNA from 1 species